UAGAGUUUGAUCCUGGCUCAGGACGAACGCUGGCGGCGUGCCUAAUACAUGCAAGUCGAGCGGACAGAUGGAGUGCUUGCACUCCUGAUGUUAGCGGCGGACGGGUGAGUAACACGUAGGCAACCUGCCCGACAGACAGGGAUAACUCCGGGAAACCGGUGCUAAUACCUGAUACGCAGCGAGGAGGCAUCUCUUUGCUGGGAAAGACCAUGAGUCACUGUCGGAUGGGCCUGCGGCGCAUUAGCUAGUUGGUGGGGUAGAGGCCUACCAAGGCGACGAUGCGUAGCCGACCUGAGAGGGUGAUCGGCCACACUGGGACUGAGACACGGCCCAGACUCCUACGGGAGGCAGCAGUAGGGAAUCUUCCGCAAUGGACGAAAGUCUGACGGAGCAACGCCGCGUGAACGAAGAAGGUUUUCGGAUCGUAAAGUUCUGUUGUAAGGGACGAACCGCCGGGAUGACCUCCCGGUCUGACGGUACCUUACGAGAAAGCCCCGGCUAACUACGUGCCAGCAGCCGCGGUAAUA
rnacentral:rRNA from 1 species